rnacentral:rRNA from 1 species
CCUACGGGAGGCAGCAGUGAGGAAUAUUGGUCAAUGGCCGUAAGGCUGAACCAGCCAAGUCGCGUGAAGGAAGAAGGACCUAUGGUUUGUAAACUUCUUUUAUAGAGGAAUAAAGGUAUCCACGUGUGGCUAUUUGUAUGUACCUUAUGAAUAAGCAUCGGCUAACUCCGUGCCAGCAGCCGCGGUAAUACGGAGGAUGCGAGCGUUAUCCGGAUUUAUUGGGUUUAAAGGGUGCGUAGGUUGUUUUUUAAGUCAGUGGUGAAAGUUUGUGGCUCAACCAUAAAAUUGCAAUUGAGACUGGCAGUCUUGAGUGUGUUUGAGGUAGGCGGAAUGCGUGGUGUAGCGGUGAAAUGCAUAGAUAUCACGCAGAACUCCGAUUGCGAAGGCAGCUUACUAAGCCAUAACUGACACUGAAGCACGAAAGCGUGGGGAUCAAACAGGAUUAGAUACCCCAGUAGUC